GCCAAUGUGGCAUAGUGGUUUGAGUGUUGGACUAUGACUCUUGAGACCAAGGUUUGAUUCCUAGCUUGCCG